rnacentral:rRNA from 1 species
GAUGAACGCUGGCGGCGUGCCUAAUACAUGCAAGUCGAGCGAACAGACGAGGAGCUUGCUCCUCUGACGUUAGCGGCGGACGGGUGAGUAACACGUGGAUAACCUACCUAUAAGACUGGGAUAACUUCGGGAAACCGGAGCUAAUACCGGAUAAUAUAUUGAACCGCAUGGUUCAAUAGUAAAAGACGGUUUUGCUGUCACUUAUAGAUGGAUCCGCGCCGCAUUAGCUAGUUGGUAAGGUAACGGCUUACCAAGGCAACGAUGCGUAGCCGACCUGUGAGGGUGAUCGGCCACACUGGAACUGAGACACGGUCCAGACUCCUACGGGAGGCAGCAGUAGGGAAUCUUCCGCAAUGGGCGAAAGCCUGACGGAGCAACGCCGCGUGAGUGAUGAAGGUCUUCGGAUCGUAAAACUCUGUUAUUAGGGAAGAACAAAUGUGUAAGUAACUAUGCACGUCUUGACGGUACCUAAUCAGAAAGCCACGGCUAACUACGUG